UUGUGGUGGUGGACAAAGAGCAGAGGAAAGCCGUAGUGGUGGAUGUGGCAAUACCAAGCGAUGGCAACAUCAGGAAAAAGGAACAUGAGAAACUAGAGAAAUACCAAGGGCUCAGAGAAGAACUGGAGAAGGCUUGGAAGGUGAAGGCCACAGUGGUGCCUGUGGUGAUUGGAGCACUGGGGGCAGUGACCCCCAAACUGGAGGAGUGGCUACAACAGAUCCCUGGAAUAACAUCCGACAUCUCAGUCCAGAAAAGUGCAGUCCUAGGAACAGCAAGGAUACUGCGCAGAACCCUCAAGCUUCCUGGCCUCUGGUAGAGGACCCGAGCUUGGAAAAGUGGAUGAGACCACCCACGUGGGGUGAGAAGGGAGUUUUUUUUUUUUUUUUUUAGAAGUGCUCCUAGAUCCACAGAGUCUGAUACAUACUAUAACAUAACACAUACGCAGACAGUAACAAAUUGUCAUUGUCAUUUUACAGAACAUUCCUGGGGAUUUAAAUGCAGAUGAAGGUCCAUCUACCUCCUCACAAAAUCUAAGCAGUUUGCCAGCAAAUAAGCUGUAUAAGGUCCAUCUUAGACAACAAAUUAAAAAGAAUGACUUGGAGAUGGCCCUUAUACAGCUCAAAAUAGAGGAGAAGAGACUGGCCAUCAAAGAGGCUACACUGGAAAUCGAAAUCCUGGAGCAUCGCCUUAGGGACAUGAAGAAAUGAAGAUCACUGUUGGUGCAGAAACAUUUUAAUAAAAAUGAUUCUG